rnacentral:rRNA from 1 species
AUUGAACGCUGGCGGCAGGCCUAACACAUGCAAGUCGAACGAGUGGCGGACGGGUGAGUAAUGUCUGGGAAACUGCCUGAUGGAGGGGGAUAACUACUGGAAACGGUAGCUAAUAUCGCAUACCAUAGGAUGUGCCCCGGUGGGAUUAGCUAGUAGGUGGGGUAAAGGCGCACCUAGGCGACGAUCCCUAGCUGGUCUGAGAGGAGGACCAGCCACACUGGAACUGAGACACGGUCCAGACUCCUACGAGAGGCAGCAGUGGGGAAUAUUGCGCAAGGGGCGCAAGCCUGAUGCAGCCAUGCCGCGUGUGUGAAGAAGGCCUUCGGGUUGGAAAGUACUUUCAGCGGGGAGGCGUUACCCGCAGAAGAAGCACCGGCUAACUCCGUGCCAGCAGCCGCGGUAAUUC